GAGCUCCUAGGUUAAGCUUGAUUUAAAUUUGCAUACAUUUUCAUAUAUUUAGCAGAAAUAAAAGAAGGCUUGCAGCUACCAGAAAGUCAUUAAGGCAUUAGUUUCUCUGAGAAGACAGAUCUGGAGAAAAUGCAAGAAAAUGAAAAAAAUUAUAUAUAAACAAGGGUUUACCCGCUUUUAGCCCAGACAUCGAUUGGCUUUUUGGAGGGGCACUUUUGCAGGAAGGUGGGUGCCUGCCUCUCUCGCAGCUGCAGUCGGGCUCCGGGCUGCCGAGCAAAAAAAGAACUUCGGAAAAGUUUUCAGGUGCGAGGAAGGCAGCUCCCUUGAAAACGUCGCUGGAAAGCGUGUCGCGAAGGGUCAGUUUAGAGGUCAGAAGAUGAAAAAUGUCUCUGCAAAAGAGAAUCAUAACCCUUUUGUCCCUCUAAAAGCUGCAUUUCUGACGGCAAGGUUUCGAGCCAGGCUCUAGGUAUUGAAGCUGCAGUUGAUUUGCUAUGCGUGGAGAGAGAUGAAGAUAGAUAGAUAGAUACACUCUUUCUUUCUCUACCUUUACAAGGUUCUUAAAAUAAAUAUUAGCGACGCCUGGGAAGAAGGAAAAAACGCGAACACUGUUUUUUCAAGGCAACUAAAUUAUUUAAAAUUAAUUUGCACUCCGACUUCUAAAACAAUUUUUCAGAUCCCUUUGCCCGUGAAAAUAAAUCUGCCGCUGCAUGAAGGAAGAGUCUUUAGGAGGGAACUAAAACCCCUGAAUAGCAGGUUUUAGUAUUUUUCAAAAUGUGGCUGCAGCAGACCCCAACGCCAUAACGCCCUGCUCCUGGGAGGAGAGCCGGAGCUCGCUAUAUGCUUUAUUUUAAAGUGUUUUUAUCUGCAUAUAGUUAAAUCUUCUUGCUGUUCUAACUAAUCUGCUGGAGAGGGUUUCUUUAGCUCUUUCCUGUCAGUCUAACUUCCCAAGUGUAACAGAUGCCGCUCUCAAGCGGUCCUUUCUGCUGCUUUUCUUUAUUCAGCCUCGCAUAUUUCUCCCCAUGAUCUGGGUUUCCAUAGAGAGAGGAAUAAAAGGGGGACCAUGGUCACAAAUCCCCUGCCCCAUGCAGAAUAAAAGAGCCUUAUUCAAUAGACGACCCCGUCUGGACAUGGGAGAAAAAUAAGUACAUGCAAAGCUACUGUUGCAAGAAUUUGUAACUUAUUUUUCAUAGACUGGAACCCAUUAAAGUAAGAAAAGUUUC